AAAGGGUAACCAUAACAUUCCCUUAACCAAAGCAUAAUUCGAUCGGUUUGAAAAAACCAGCAAAGGGGCAACAUAGUACCAUCCGCUGAUCUUGGGCCGGUCUGUCCAUAAUGUCGUAUAUGUCUAUAUUGAGUUAUAUUUCUUAGGAAAGCCAGACUGAAACUGCUUAGUCUUAGCCUCUUGCUAAAAUAUGCCAUUAGUGUCGUAAAUUUCCAGUGUAAUUGAAAUUAAAUAUAGAUUGAAUUAUACUUCCUUUUAUAAAGGAUAUACGGCGAAGGAGAUAUUCAGCCUUUCUAUAAA
rnacentral:sRNA from 1 species